CAAUAGCGUAUAUUAAAGUUGUUGCAGUUAGAAAGCUCGUAGUUGGAUUUCUGGUAGGAGUGACCGUUCCGAACUUGAUUGUUCGUGUAUUGUGUUUUCUCCAGCCAUCCUUGUGGAGAACUUUUCUUGCAUUAAUUUGUAGGGAUUGGGACCCGCAUCGUUUACUGUGAAAAAAUUAGAGUGUUUAAAGCAGGCAAUCGCUUGAAUACAUUAGCAUGGAAUAAUAAGAUAGGACUUUGGUACUAUUUUGUUGGUUUGCAUACCAAAUUAAUGAUCAACAGGAACAGUUUGAGGAUAUUCGUAUGAACAUGUCAGAGGUGAAAUUCUUGGAUUUUGAUCAGACGAACUACUGCGAAAGCAUUUAUCAAGGAUGUUUUCAUUAA
rnacentral:rRNA from 1 species